AGUGAACGCUGGCGGUAGGCCUAACACAUGCAAGUCGAACGGCAGCACAGUAAGAGCUUGCUCUUACGGGUGGCGAGUGGCGGACGGGUGGGGAAUACAUCGGAAUCUACUUUUUCGUGGGGGAUAACGUAGGGAAACUUACGCUAAUACCGCAUACGACCUACGGGUGAAAGCAGGGGAUCUUCGGACCUUGCCCGAUUGAAUGAGCCGAUGUCGGAUUAGCUAGUUGGCGGGGUAAAGGCCCACCAAGGCGACGAUCCGUAGCUGGUCUGAGAGGAUGAUCAGCCACACUGGAACUGAGACACGGUCCAGACUCCUACGGGAGGCAGCAGUGGGGAAUAUUGGACAAUGGGCGCAAGCCUGAUCCAGCCAUACCGCGUGGGUGAAGAAGGCCUUCGGGUUGUAAAGCCCUUUUGUUGGGAAAGAAAAGCAGCAGGUUAAUACCCCGCUGUUCUGACGGUACCCAAAGAAUAAGCACCGGCUAACUUCGUG
rnacentral:rRNA from 1 species